rnacentral:rRNA from 1 species
CAGAGGUUAAACCGCAGCCGGAAAAACCAAAACCAGAGGUUUGUACCCAUGCCGAACACAGAAGUUAAGCCCUAGAACGCCGGAAGUAGUUGGGGGUUGCCCCCUGUGAGAUAGGGAAGUCGCUUAGCU